AGGUGGUCACAAAGCCCCGAGCCGCUCAACUCCUUAUUGGACAGCUUGCAGCCAGACACACACCUCGAAGUCAGCAUCGUUGAGAUGGAGUUUUAGAAAAACAUCACCCAGAACGUUCCAAGGAAACUUAACCUCAGAAGAAUCGUGUCUGCUCAUUCCUCCUCUCCCAACGCGGAUAAUUUAGAACUCUCCAGAGGGAGCCCUGAUCGCACAGAAGUGCAGAAGAGGGUCAGACUGGGUGUGGCCAAUCAUUUCAGUUGGUUGGACUCAUGAUAGAGAAGGGGAUGUUUUCAUCUGUUGGAGGUGGGAGGACGUGCUCUUCAGGCCUUUCAGAUGCUGCUUACAGAAGGAUGGCUGAAGGACAUUAGCCCCUCCAGAUCUAGCCUCAGAGUGACACCUCUACACAUACAAGAGAGAUGUCUGGAAUAUCCGAAGUGGAAGUGGAGAAAUGGUGGGAGAUGAAGAUGACAUGCCAUGCAGUGGGCAGCCCAUGGAGGCAGGUGGGUGUCUUCCAGGCCCAGCA